rnacentral:lncRNA from 1 species
CUUUACCAGUCACUGUAGAUUCAAACCAUGUUGGAUGAUGUAAGUGGGAAAAUAUGAAGGACCUACUGGCUGUUUCAAAAAAAAAAAGGCACUUUCUGGCAUUUUAUUUAACUUUAUGAAUCAAGAAAAGAGAACCGACCAGAUGGGCUUUUUCUUUAUUGCUUUUCUGACUUUGGCUGCGUCUUGCUGAUCUCUGUCGAAGGGCCAAGUCAGAGUCUACUGCUUCCUUCGGAGGACUUUUAUGGAGUAUUGUGGGCUGAUUACCUCUCUCCCAACCCAUGAAGACUUCCGACGGGUGGAUCUGAGUGUAGCGACCGUGGUGCUGGCCUCGUCUGCAGCCGUCGGCGCGCGCGGAUCGGAGUCAGGCCGGCAGCAGAGUCAGAUCACAACCAAGGGAAAUGACCAGCGCUGUCUUGCUUUGCAAUUCCAGUCAGUGACAUUUUGGAAACCCCAGGCCAGGUCGAUUGUGAUUCGGGACCUGUUUCACCUGCAACCCAGCUGUCAAGAGGGAAGAGAGCAGUUUCCCUCUGCAAAGCAGAUGACAAGGUGAUAAGGAGAGGAGGUCAUCAUAGUUUCAUAGAUGUUAGGGGCUGGAAGGGACCUUACAGAUCAUUGGGUCCAGCCCCCUGCACUUGGGCAGGAAAGGCUGCUGGGAUGGGCAUUAAGCAAGAUGGGCA